AAUGAGCGAGGGAGGCAGGGCUGGGCAGAGGGAGAAGCUGAGCCCUGAGGCAGUCAGAACAGAGAUCUCAGCCAGACCCACAGAAAGCUCUGGAAGAGGGGUGAUGCUUCAGUGUUGUCCAAGUUUAGGUAAGGGGCUGGCUUUUGUACUCCUGUUUGGAGCAGGAGUUGGGUGUGGGCUGCUCCCCAGUGUGUGUGUGUGUGUGUGUGUGUGUGUGUGUGUGUGUGACAUCGCACAAUGCAGCUCCCCUGGCUGAGGCCCAUUUCUGGCUGGAGGCUCUGCUGUGAGCUGUCAGCUGCCACCACUGCUAGCAGCUGGGGGAAUGAGUACCUCUGUCCUGAAGGGGGACCUGGACGGCACACCCACGGCCUCGGUGCCCUCAUGUCUAUUGCAGCAUUUCCUGUCCUCUUCUUACCUAACUUCGCAGAAGCUUCAGCACGGUUGACCACUCCCUCCUAGAAAAGAGCCCUUCCUUGGUUCCCAGGAGACCACACCUUUGUUUUUUUCUUCUAUCUCUCUGGCCGUUUCUCCUUAUUCCCUUUCAGAGUCUCCCCUUCCUCCUCCUGGGCACUCCAUUCUUCUGGUUCUUCUCUCCCAGUGAUCUCACACCGUCUCACCAGUUAAAAAAAAACAAUGCUCUUGGAUGCCAAUGUUUAUGUCUCUAGCCCAGAACUUUUUCUGAGCUUCUAGCUAAUACAUGCAGCUACCAGCCUGUGGGUACCUCACAGGCAUCUACUCGUCACAGCCACAGCAGAUGUCUUGGCUUCCCUGCUCCACUGUAACUGUUCCUUCCCUGCCUGCUCUUUUCCAUUUCAGAAAAUGGCACCACUUCCAAUCCAGCUUCUCAAAGCUGGAACCCAGGGCUGUAUCCUAGAUUUCUCUCUUUUACUCAGUUGCUUCUGCCUUCUCGAAUGCCUCCACUGCUCUCCUGCCCCCACCUCCAGCACACCCCACCAAGGAGAGCCUCCCACUCCCUUCCCAUUCCACACCUGACCCUUCCCACACCCUCCUCCACACGGCAGCCAGAUGUGGACCUGCCAUGACUCAGAGAGAAUCCAAGCUCCUCCACGCCAGGCACAGGUGUCUUCUCUGGGUGCCAUCCCCAUCCUGCCUACCUCUCCAACCUCAGCUUCUGCUGCUGUCUGCAGCAUCCUCGCUGUAUUUAAGGCUGCAGAGUCAUGGAAGGGACCUGAGUGUGGUGUCACCUCUUCCUGACGUCAGAAUGAAUUCAGUUAAUCUCAGGAACAUUCUACAGUGGGAGUCACCUGCUUUUGCCAAAGGGAGUUUGACUUUCAUGGCUCAGUAAUCGUAGGCAGGGGUAGGGGGAUCUUGGCAGGAAGGUGUCAGAGGAUGGUGGCCCUGGGCUGGUCAAUGGGCUGUACCAUUUAAGAGAGAGUCUGACUGCUGUCACCCACAGGCCCGUGACAGCCCACAUGAGCCUCCCUCCUGGCCUUUUUCUUUCUGCCCAGGAAAUUCUUAUAGUCAGCUUUUCCUUUUUCCUUUUUCUUGCUGUGGCUCCUAGUUAGACAAUUUAUCACAGAGCUGCAAGUGGACAUAAACAUUUUAUCCUGUACAUGUAGACACAGUCAGUGAGUUUAAUACUAUGGAGAACAUUGCUCAUUUGCCUCAAUUUACCUUUUUUAGAGAGAAAUAUCCCUGAGAUCAUUGCCAGUUAUAGGAGUAACAUGGUUAGAGGUGAGAGGUUCAUCUUUCGAAAUUUUCCAGGAAAACCGAGGUCUACUCAAGGAGUCACUGUCCACAGACACUUACCUGCAAUGCUCCAUAUCUAAAAAGCUCUGAAAACCAAGUGUAGUUUUUCCCUCCUUCCUUUGGUGGCAAAGCUAGAACUGAACUCAUUUGAUGGCAAGCCCUUACCUGGCCCGAAGGUAUUUGUGGCAAAUGUGACCCAAACUGAUGUAAAUCCGCUUAUAGUUUGAAUUUUUCCUUUUAGUGUGACUAUUCAAAACUUCUAUCUCAGAAACGUUAAUAUGCUUGAUUUGAUUGCAUCUGAAAUCUUUUUCACUUUAAGAGCUCGUUCUUAGUCUCCAAUUGCUCUGGGGAACCUGUGGUGUAGUUCCAAGUCGAGUCUGAAGGCCUGAGGACCAGGAGAGCUGAUGGUGUAAGUUCCACUCCACGCGCAGGAGGAAAACCAAUGUCCUAGCUUGAAAAAAGGCAGAGGGAAUGAAUUCUCUUUUAGUGAAUUCUCUCUUUGUUCUAUUCAAGCCUCCGAUGGAUUAGACGAGGCCCCCCCACAUUGUGGAGGGCGACUUGCUUUACUCCGUCUUCGGAAUCGAAUGUUCAUCUCAUCCGGAAACAUCCUCACAGACACGCCCAGAAUAGCGUUGAGCCAAAUAUCUGGGCACCUCCUGUCCCAGUCCAGUUGACACAUAAAAGUCACCAUCACAUUCGUCUCCCUUCACUAAAACAGAAGCCCUAUGAAGGCAGGGACUCUAUCCGUUUCCUUCUCUGUGGUGUCCCCAGCACCUAGAAUUCCACCUGGCUCCAAGUGGCUGCUUAGUAACUGGUUCUUGAGCGAAUGGAUGAAACUAACCCAUCUCUCCCUGGAUUGAGGGUCUGGAGGCCCGGGAUGGUGCAUGUUCAGUGGGUUUGUGCCUAAGCUGGGACUCAACCCAGGGCGCUGUUAUCUAUUGCUGCAUCAAACUUAAUAGCUUCAAAUGACGUUUAUUAUGUCAUAGUUUCUGCAGGUCAGGAAUCAGGCGCAGCUUAGCUGGCCCUGGCCUCUCUGUUCAAGGUCUCUCGCGGUGUCGGCCAGGGCUGCAGUCCACUGGGGGCAAAUCCACUUUUAAGUUCACGUGGUUGUUGGCCGAAUUCUGUUCCUUUAGGGUUGUUAGAUUGAGGACCUCAAUUCUGUGCUGCCUGUUGGCUGGAGGCGGCCUCAGGUCCUUGCCACGUGAGCCUUUCCGCUGUGGGAGGUUGCUUCCUCCAAGGGUGCCAGCUGAGAAGGCAGCGGAGAGAGCCUGCUAGCAAGAUGGAAUCAUAAUCAUCCGUAACCGAAAUACGGAAGCAGCAUCCAUCACCUUCGUCACAUUCAAUUGAGUCAUAGGUACUGUCCACACUCAGAAGGAGGGGAUUACUCAAAGCUAUGAAGACUAAGAGAUGGGGAGCAGGUGGCCAUCUCAUCUUUGAGUCUGCCUGUCACAGGUGGGUAGGCGCACAGACUCUGGAGCCAGGGUUCAAAUCCCUGCUCUGUCACUUCUUUCCUGUGUGAUCUUAGGUAAGUUACUUAACCUCUCUGUACUUUAGCUUCAACCUUUGAAAAAUUAGGCAAAUAAUAGUAUCUGCUUCAUAAGGUUGUUGUGGGAAUUAAAUAAGGAUACAGAAGUGCUUAGAACAGGGCCUGCACACGGAAGAGCUAAGUAACAAUUGGCUGUUACUCCUGCUCCUUUGGGCAGGCGUGCAGCGUAACCCUUAAAGGAAGUGCAGUGAAAGCUGCCCCGUGUUUCCUCCUUCUGUGGGAUUGUUCAGUCCAAUCUAGACCCUGUUCAUGCCACAAUUUCUCCUGCUUAGAGACUUUACCCCCAUAGGUUGAACUUUCUGAGAAUUUUUGAGUCAUAAACCAAGGGCAAUAAAUCUGGGAUCAUCAAAUGCCAGCUCGUGGGUUAGUGGCUGCUUAACGAAGAGUUCUGAUGGGCGUGGAAACAGAGGCGUGGUGUGGUGUCUGAUGGCCCAGAUCUGAUCGUUGAGGUAACCAGGAGACGGAACGUGAACUUGACUCAGGAAGAAAAUUACAUUGAGUUUCUGCUGCAUGAGACAGACUUCUUCUUUUGUUUUUCAAGGAAGUGAACUGGCUGGAGCAUGGUCUGAACUCGGGAGCUCAAGAUACAGACCGCAAGCUGUCUGUCCUUAAGCACUGAAGUCCUCAGAAAUCUGGAGCCACGGACAACUUAUUGUGUUCCAGUCCUAGGAUUUAUUCUUGAUUAGGACAAAGUCAUGGAAUGGAGUGAGCCUGUCUAUGAGCAAACAACCGAUGGUGAUGAGUCCUGAGAUGCACCACCUGUCACUGCUUCCUUUAGGCUUUUUAAACAGCUGUGUAGACUCCCAAUGGGUGUUUGAGUUGGAAGCCUCCUUAGACAUCAUUGCGUCCAGCUCAAACUCCAACCCGGUUCACCCCUGGCUGAUCGGCUUCAUGCUGGGAAGGAGACCACCACCUUCUGAGCCAGCUCGUCCGCUUGUAGACCCAAGGGAUUGAUGGACACGUCUCUGUCCACGGUGCCGAAGUCUCCCUCGGUGCGCCCACCUCCGCUGGUCUGCCUUCUCAUCAGUCUUCCACAAGACAGCCCGGGAAAUCUUCAGCCCCCGACCCCCGAUUGUAUUCCCAGUUCCUUUAAAAAAAAAAAAAACAAAACUCCCUAUCCUGUCACCCUGCUCACAAUGUGCACAGGUUUUCAGGGUGGUACCAAGACUUAUAUAUAAUUUUCCAUAUAUGGUCUGACACAGGCCCUGGACACUUAGUAUUUCUCUUCCUUUUUGUUUCAAACUUUUUAUUUUGAAAUAACGUGAAACUGAUAGGGAAGUUGUAGAAACCAUACAAAGAACUCCUCUGUGCUCUUAACCCAGGUGCACUGAUUGGUACUUGGUGUUUUUAGAAAACAGGACGGGCCCGUGACAAGGCUGUGAGGGUUCAGCAGAUCGUCUGUGUGGCCUGUGCACUGGGAUUCAGGGAAUGCGGUCGCAAGUUGCAUAACUUUUGGGGGACCUGUCACACACAGUUACCAUGGGCUGGGUUUGACAUUAAACACAUUCUCCAGCUCAUUUGCAA